UACGGAGGGUGCAAGCGUUAUCCGGAUUCACUGGGUUUAAAGGGUGCGUAGGUGGGAAUGUAAGUCAGUGGUGAAAUCUCCGUGCUUAACAUGGAAACUGCCAUUGAUACUAUGUUUCUUGAAUUUUCUGGAGGUAAGCGGAAUAUGUCAUGUAGCGGUGAAAUGCUUAGAUAUGACAUAGAACACCAAUUGCGAAGGCAGCUUGCUACAGGGAUAUUGACACUUAGGCACGAAAGCGUGGGGAUCAAACAGG
rnacentral:rRNA from 1 species